UACAGAGGGGGCAAGCGUUGUUCGGAAUUACUGGGCGUAAAGGGCGCGUAGGCGGCCUGUUAAGUCGGACGUGAAAUCCCUCGGCUCAACCGGGGAACUGCGUCCGAUACUGGCGGGCUUGAAUUCGGGAGAGGGAUGUGGAAUUCCAGGUGUAGCGGUGAAAUGCGUAGAUAUCUGGAGGAACACCGGUGGCGAAGGCGGCAUCCUGGACCGACAUUGACGCUGAGGCGCGAAAGCCAGGGGAGCAAAC
rnacentral:rRNA from 1 species